rnacentral:rRNA from 1 species
GAUGAACGCUGGCGGCGUGCCUAAUACAUGCAAGUCGAGCGAACGGACGAGAAGCUUGCUUUUCUGAUGUUAGCGGCGGACGGGUGAGUAACACGUGGAUAACCUACCUAUAAGACUGGGAUAACUUCGGGAAACCGGAGCUAAUACCGGAUAAUAUUUUGAACCGCAUGGUUCAAAAGUGAAAGACGGUCUUGCUGUCACUUAUAGAUGGAUCCGCGCUGCAUUAGCUAGUUGGUAAGGUAACGGCUUACCAAGGCAACGAUGCAUAGCCGACCUGAGAGGGUGAUCGGCCACACUGGAACUGAGACACGGUCCAGACUCCUACGGGAGGCAGCAGUAGGGAAUCUUCCGCAAUGGGCGAAAGCCUGACGGGGCAACGCCGCGUGAGUGAUGAAGGCCUUCGGAUCGUAAAACUCUGUUAUUAGGGAAGAACAUAUGUGUAAGUAACUGUGCACAUCUUGACGGUACCUAAUCAGAAAGCCACGGCUAACUACGUG